GACGUAGGGGGCGAGCGUUGUCCGGAUUUAUUGGGCGUAAAGCGUGCGUAGGCGGCUGCGCAAGUCGGUUGUGAAACCCCGGGGCUCAACCCCGGAACUGCAUCCGAUACUGCGUGGCUAGAGGUAGGUAGGGGAGAUCGGAAUUCCUGGUGUAGCGGUGAAAUGCGCAGAUAUCGGGAGGAACACCAAUGGCGAAGGCAGCUCGCUGGGACGUUACUGACGCUGAGACGCGAAAGCGUGGGGAGCAAACAGG
rnacentral:rRNA from 1 species